GUUCUACAUCAUUACGGAGAGAAAGAUCACAAGUAGAGGAGCAGGCAGAGAGAGAGAAGGAAGCAGGCCUCCCGUGGAGCAGAGACCAAUGCGGGGCUUGAUCCCAGGACCCUGAGAUCAUGACCUGGGCCGAAGGCAGAGGCCCAACCCACUGAGCCACCCAGGCACCUCAGCAACACACAUUCUUGAAGAACUUUAUAAAUCUUGAAAGAAGGUGACUGUGGAUCCUUUGGACUUGUUUUCCUCACCAUGACAUGAUUUUCUUCUCCUUCUUGCCGUCACUGCUGAUUCAACAUUUAAAGCAUUGCCAGGCAGAAUUGUGAUCCCCUGAAGGUGUCUUAUCCUAAUCCCAGAACCUAAUGAAGAGCCGGUGAAGAAGGCAUGGCCCCCAUCAAUAUAGUCUCCUCAGUCUGUACCAGGCCCCGUCCCUGUGCUGCCACCAGAGCGCUCUUCCCCGCCGAGCCGUGCAGAUGUCACUUCCUCCAAGACAACUCGACCCUUUUCAUCACAACUAGUUUCCUCACGUUUGUUGGGACACGUAUGGAGAAGAAUUCCUUAAGCUGACUGAUCACCAAGAAGGAACCUGCAAAUCCUCCUGCGUUGUUGUGAAGGCCAUCACUAGGCAGCUCUCUUGGGCCUUGGCUCAUAUCAGCAGCGUAGGGCGCUCCGCACGGAUGAGGAACUGGGUUGCUUUGGACAAGUCAGUCUCUUAUGACUUCUGUUUCUUUCGGGAACCCUGCCUAAUACAGGGGUGCAGGCUCCUAAACAUCAUCUCAAGGCUAUUGUUGAAGGUGAACUGGAUCCAGCCUACUGAACUACUCGAGUGAAAAAAGAAAAGAAAAACGGAAUGUCUGGGGUGGAAACAACAUAUAGAAAGAAGGUUCUUCUAUUUUCCUUAACAUCCUUUGUCCAUUCCAGGCAUUCUGCUUAUGUAAAGGUGAUUUAUCAGGAAUAUAUUCUUCUCAAUAUGAUCCCUGUAGAUUGUUUUUUCAUGUUCUAAAAAGGAUCUAUUUUCUCUCUCUCUCUCUCUCUCUAAAAAAUAUUUUAUUUAUUUGAGAGAAAGUAUGUGUGAGAGUGAGCUGGGGGUAGGAGCAGUGGACGAGGGACAAGCAAGCUCCUUGCUGAGUAUGGAGCCUGACACGGGGUUUGAUCCCAUGAGCCUGACCGGGAUCAUGACCUGAGCUGAAAUCAAGGUCAAAUGCCCAACCAACUGAGCCACCCAGGCACCCCUGGAAAAGGUAUGUUCCCGUAACAGCCACCAGUGAAAACGACAACUCAGAAAACCUAGUGCAAACUUGUGGCCACCAUUUAAGGACAGCAUUAAUAAAUGGCAAUGAAUUACUCAUCAUCUUCCAUGUGAUAAAUACAAUUCGUGCAUUACCUCGCUUGGUCCCCAUCCCAACAAUGUAGAGUAGCCAUGAUGUCUCCCAUGGGAAAGCUGAGGAAGCUGAAGUUCAGAAGGCUUUAGAAAGGCUGGGGGUGGGGCAUGUAGAUAGAUCGAAUGAACAGAAGCAGGAUUGACAGCCCUGCUAUUAGAUUCUGAAGCCCAUGCUAAUGUCCACAAUAGCCAAACUGGAAGGAACCAAGAUGCCCUUCAACAGAUGAAUGGAUAAAAAGAUAUGGUUCAUACAUACAAUGGAACAUUACUCAGCCAUCAGAAAGGAUGGAUACCCAAUAUUUGCAUCAAUGUGGAUGGAAUUGGAGGGGAUUAUGGUGAGUGAAAUAUGUCAAGCAGAGAAAGACAAGUAUCAUAUGGUUCCACUCAUAUGUGGAACAUAAGGAAUAGUGUGGAGGACCACAGGGGAGGGGAGGGAGACUGAAUGAGAAGAAAUCAGAGAGGGAGACAAACCAUGAGAGACUCUGGACUCCGGGAAACAAACUCAGGGUUACAGAAGGGAGGGGGUGGGGGGAUGGGGUAGCCGGGUGAUGGGCAUUAAGGAGGGCACAUGUGGUGAUGAGCCCUGGGUGUUAUACACACCAGUGAAUCAUUGAGCACUACAACAAAAACUUGUGAUGCACUAUAUGUUGGCCAACUGAACAUAUAAAAAAUAAAGUCCAUGCCA